CAGUGAGAUACUGUGACCCUUGCUUGCAGGGAAAUUGGGGCCACUGGGCAAGAAGGGUCAUGCCCGUUCUGCCCAUGUGAUCACUGGCCUCCCACCAUGUGCAGGGGAGGCAGCUGCCCACACACGGAACCUAUAGUACGGGGGGGGGAGGGGGGAACUGUCAUCCUGUGGCCUCCGCCCACGUGGCACCAGGGAAGACACUCCAGGCUUCCUCACAAGUCGCACCCUGGUGUUUGUCUCCGGAAACCUCUUGCAGGCCUCCUGGAGCCUCCCCGCUUCCGGCCCUGCCUCCCCUCAGCAUCCCUGCAAAUGCAGCCUCCUCCUCCUCCUGGCUGAGCAAGCCCCCAGGCUGCCCUGAGCCUCAGCUUCCUCCUCUGCAGACUGGCACCGUGUGCUCUUGGCACCACGGAGGGCGGCUCCAGGGAGCAGGGGGCCCUGCUGGCAGGGGGGAGCCCCCCACCGCCGCACUCACUCCUCAUGCCGGUAGCGCCACUCCUGGGUGGCGGGGUCCAGCCGGAACAGCUGUGGUUUCCAGGGCACGAGGUUCUGCUGGCGCUCGCGGGUCCGCUGCCGCUGCAUCUCCUCCAGUGAAGACUUCUCCUGCGUGGCCUUGUGCUGGUCGCCCUCGCCGAUGGCCCUGGUGACAUGCUGCCAGAGCCUGGGGGUGGGGCAUGUGCUCUGAGCAGGUGAUCUGGACGGUCCCACCCCCUGGGCGCCGGAGGGGAGGCUUAGAGAGCAACCUCCACUUGCUUGCCUCCAGGGACAGGGAGCUCACUCUCUCCUGGGGAGCCUGAGUGUCUUAGAGCGCCGGUGAUUCAAAGUGAGGUGGUACUCCUCGACCCUGAGCUCAUACCCCCACUGGCAGGGUACUCCCUGUGGAGCGGCUGGGCAUCUGCUGUCCCCAGGCCUCACUCUCUCUCCCUCAGCUGCCCCAGCGGGACAUGGUGUCUGUCACAGGGGGUCCCCUCUGGUCCCCCCUCCCUGCCAGGGACACCCCAGCUCACGCUCACUGCACGGCAACCCUGCCCAUCCACACCAGGCCUGGGUCCAGGGGUCCGGCAGGUGCCCGCGGGCGCCUCACCUCUCCGACUCCAGCUCUGUCUGGUCUUCCAACAGCACCGUGUGCCUCUUCAGCCUCUGCCCCCGGACUUCCCCGCUCGGGUUCCAGAAGAGCUCCAUGCUUCCUCGGCCCUCCUCCUUGAGGAACACUUCUCGGUCCUGCCCCAGAUGGCCCAGGCAGGAACAGAGGGGUUGGCCCCGCAGCUGUUCCUAUGCCCAUGGGCCCACCUCUGCCUGCCCCGGACGGCAGCUCUUACCCAGUGCCCGCUGAGACGUGCCACGACCUCCUCCCCUGACGUGAUCUUCCCCGAGAUCUGGUUGAUGCUGGUGCUGCCCCCAAAGAAAGGCUGUGGGGACACCCCGAGACAGGGCUGGUGAGGGGCCGGUGGCCUCCCCAGCACCCUGGCGCCCCGCAGUGAGCCAGGGAGGAGGAGGCCCCUUCCUCAUGAGGUGCCAGCUCUCAGCCCCCGGGACGUGGGAGGCCAGCUAGGCUGAGACCCAAAGCUGGAAGCUGCCACACUCGCCCAACGCCUCAGCCUGAGCUCAGGGAUGCAGGGGGCCUAUGAGGCCUGUGUGCCCCAUGGCUGGGAAGGGGUCUGGGCCUGUCCUGGCUCUGCUGUGUGGCCUGCAGGAGCCCCUUCCUCUCUCUGGGCCCUGGCUGUGCUAUGGAGAUGCCAAGAGCUGCCCCCUCCUGAGUGCACCUGCUCCAGAAACCAUCCCUGGGGUGUGCUGCAGCUAGUGCUACCUUGAGCUUGAAUUCCAGCUCAGCUUGAAAGUUGGUCUUCUCACACUCGACGGUCACUCUCCCGCCCAGCUCCAUGGUCAUGGUGCCAUACAGGAUCCCUGAAACAGUCUCCUGCUCAGUCCUGGCACUGCGUACCCACACAGCACCGCUGACCCUGAGGAGGCCAGUGUCAGAGCCUGGGGAGGAGGACAGGAGCCCCCGGGGGCAGAGUCCCUGGGACAGAGAAGAGCUGGUGGGGGCGGGAGGCAGAACCCGGCCCACGCAUGUUUCCUCAGUGACCCUCUGCCCCUAGGGCCUCUGCCCCUGAGAGUUGCCCCGUCCGGGGACUGUCCCACCCUUGGCAGGUUCCUUCCUCCAGGACGCCCUUUCCAGGCUCCCAGGGGCCCCGCUGCCCCCAUGAGACGCUCAUUACCAUCUGUCACUUGCUCUGUAGUUCGGGCCCCAAGGUGGGCUCCUCCAUCUUCCCUGCUCGCUGCUGCGCCCAGGACUGGCCCGGCGUGUUUGUUUAAACUAAUACAUGCAUUAUACAUAUUUA